GGGAGUAUAGCUCAACUGGCAGAGCAGACGGCUCUUAACCGUAUGGUUGCAGGUUCGAUCCCUGCUACUCCCA
rfam:Microcoleus sp. PCC 7113, complete genome.